rnacentral:rRNA from 1 species
AUUGAACGCUGGCGGCAGGCCUAACACAUGCAAGUCGAGCGGGGAGGAGGAAGCUUGCUUCCGAAUCCUAGCGGCGGACGGGUGAGUAACGCGUGAGCAACCUGCCUCUUACAGGGGGAUAACGCAUCGAAAGAUGUGCUAAUACCGCGUAAGACCACAGCAUCACAUGGUGCAGGGGUCAAAGGAGCAAUCCGGUAAGAGAUGGGCUCGCGUCCGAUUAGCUAGUUGGCGGGAUAACAGCCCACCAAGGUGACGAUCGGUAGCCGACCUGAGAGGGUGAUCGGCCACAUUGGAACUGAGACACGGUCCAG